rnacentral:rRNA from 1 species
UACGUAGGGGGCGAGCGUUGUCCGGAAUUAUUGGGCGUAAAGAGCGUGUAGGCUGUUCGGUAAGUCUGUCGUGAAAACCUGAGGCUCAACCUCGGGCGUGCGGUGGAUACUGCCGGGCUGGAGGACGGUAGAGGCGAGUGGAAUUCCCGGUGUAGCGGUGAAAUGCGCAGAUAUCGGGAGGAAUACCUAUGGCGAAAGCAGGCUACUGGACCAUCACUGACGCUGAUCUGCGAAAGCUAGGGGAGCAAACAGG